UACGAGGGGGGCGAGCGUUGUUCGGAAUUAUUGGGCGUAAAGGGCGCGUAGGCGGCGGGGUAAGUCUGGUGUGAAAUCUCGGAGCUCAACUCCGAAAUUGCACUGGAUACUGCUCUGCUUGAGGGUUGGAGAGGAGAUCGGAAUUCACGGUGUAGCAGUGAAAUGCGUAGAUAUCGUGAGGAAGACCAGUGGCGAAGGCGGAUCUCUGGACAAAUCCUGACGCUGAGGCGCGAAGGCUAGGGGAGCAAACGGG
rnacentral:rRNA from 1 species